CUUCUGCUUAUCACCAUUGCAGUGUGUAGUAUUGCCUGUCGCUUUCGAAGGUCUGGUCAGAAAUCACAGACAAGCAAGAAAAAAAACGAUUCUUCUGCUAGUGUAGGCAAGGGCAGUCGAAAGUAAUCAGGAGCAAUUACAUCUUUGUGCACCAAAAAGGUCAGAAGAGCAUUUUGCCAACUGCUGAGGUAGCGUUUCAUAAUUUCCAGCUCCGUGGGAGUCAUCAAAAGACUUCUUAUAUCC